rnacentral:pre_miRNA from 1 species
AUACAAAUCACAGGGAAAUCUGGCUAAAAUCUAAAAUCUGGUUCAAGAAGUGUAGGGUGGAGCUUGGGACUGUGCAUUUCUAAGAAGCUCUCAGGUGAUGCUUCU